rnacentral:rRNA from 1 species
GAUGAACGCUGGCGGCGUGCCUAAUACAUGCAAGUCGAGCGAACGGACGAGAAGCUUGCUGCUCUGAUGUUAGCGGCGGACGGGUGAGUAACACGUGGAUAACCUACCUAUAAGACUGGGAUAACUUCGGGAAACCGGAGCUAAUACCGGAUAAUAUUUUGAACCGCAUGGUUCAAAAGUGAAAGACGGUCUUGCUGUCAGUUAUAGAUGGAUCCGGGCUGCAUUAGCUAGUUGGUAAGGUAACGGGUUACCAAGGCAACGAUGCAUAGGCGACCUGAGAGGGUGAUCGGCCACACUGGAACUGAGCCACGGUCCAGACUCCUGCGGGAGGCAGCAGUAGGGAAUCUUCCGCAAUGGGCGAGAGCCUGACGGAGCAACCCCGCGUGAGUGAUGAAGGUCUUCGGAUCGUAAAACUCUGUUAUUAGGGAAGAACAUAUGUGUAAGUAACUGUGCACAUCUUGACGGUACCUAAUCAGAAAGCCACGGCUAACUACGUG